CAGCCCUGAUUUGGAUCAUCUCGUUGAAGCAGCCUCAGUGCAGAACUCUGGCACUGUCCAACGUUGCCAGCUAGAUCUCAGCUGGCUGGAGCGUCUUCCUCAUACCAGUGAGUUCCUUCUAAAAUCUCCUCUCUACAAACGGGAGUGGGGGGCAAACUGUACCUCUCCCCCCAAUGUGGUCCUGACAUCAGAGCACAAGUAAGCUUCAGAGCCUUCUGACUGUCCUUGAAGAUAACAACUACUGAUUUUGCACCCUGCUCAUCAUUGUAGUUUCCGGACAUGUACAGCUGGAUCUGGGGGAAACUUACUUAACAGUAAGGUGAUCAAAUUUAAGCCCCUAAAAAUGCUUUUUGUAAAUCAAAAAGCAGAUGUAUCAAACAUCUUUCACUGAUGAGAAAGCUCAAGCUAGAAUUUCUUCUCAUGAGUGUUCCAGCCUGGUUUUCAGAUGAAGGAGUUCAGAUAGGUACAUGGAUUUUUGCAUAAUUAUCUGGACUGAACCUCUGAGAAUGUGAGACUCACCAAUCAAGUUGUUUCUUCCAGAAGAGAUUAGUUACCAGAAGUUACCAGAGACUUUACAAGCCAGCAGUCUGCUACAUCACUGCUACAAACCUGAUCCAAGAACGUUGCAAUGAGUGUAUGUAUAUGACUUCCUUAUCCAU